GGGGUUGUAGCUCAGUGGUUGAGCACCCCUGGGUUCAAUUCCCAGUAUUCUCU
rnacentral:tRNA from 1 species